rnacentral:piRNA from 1 species
UGCUCUUACAAAUUGCUGGCUGCUUCUCU